AGAUGCACUCUGCAGGUAGAACAGCUCCUCCAAGAGGAUGGCACAUCGAAAUCUGCAAAUUUCACUCCAGCUCUCCGUGAUGUUAUGACUUAGAGAUUUCAAGGGGCAGGCAAGUACACAAGGAGAGUUAGGACAGCAGACAUCGUCAGCAAUGACUAGUACUUUCUUCUUUGUUUGAGGAGGAACAUGAGGAGCAGUGACCUCCAGAGGGUUACACAAAUGUGCAUGUUUCUAACCAAACUGUCACGAGUGACGUAUGUCAAUAUAAAAGAAAAAAAAAAUCUUGAGACCUUAAGAUAAACAAGGAGAUCAUUUAAUUUGUUUUUUCUCAUACUUUUUAAACUCAUUUGUCUCAUUGAGUCUAAAAAGUUGUUUCUGUCCAAACAGAGGUGAUAAACAUAAACACAUAAACUGGCUGCAAGUCCUGAUUUUACCCCAGUUUAAGAUGCAAAGAAUUAUAACCAUCGGCUAGUAUUUUACGUUAUUUCUCUUCAGUUUCAAUCCUGAUAUUAUAAUAAGCUGAUAACUGUGAUUGGUUGCUUGUACAAAGGUUUACUGUGUUAAAUAUGAACAUAGUAAAUAGUUCCGUAAAUUUUAAAUAAAGUUUAAAAGGCCCUUAGUGACUUAACUUCAGCUAUGUGUAUUUUACGGCCACAUGUAUCUAUGUGUAGCAGACCAUUCAACUAUAAUAACAAUACAUUAGGAUGGAAUUACUCAUCAUUUACCUGUCAAACCGCAAGCUACGCCCAUACAAGGCAUCCCAGUCCCACCCAUAUGUGGUCCAACCCUUAGAAACGUCCCAUUACCGUCACAAGUACAGGAAAAAUGGCGGCGAGUAUGUUGCGGCUCCCGCUGCGACUUUCCUCCAGAAAUAUGGGGAUAAUGACCCGUAAUACCGGCUUGAAGACCUCAAAUAUACCCAGGACGACUCAAAGCAGGACCGCAGUGUCUACGCCGUCUGGAGCAAUUCUACCGAAGCCGGAAAAAACACCAUUUGGUCUCAUCCGCAUGACAUUAGUGGUGGUGCCUUUCCUUUAUGUGGGAAAUCUGAUCAGCAAGAACUUUGCCGCCCUCCUGGAGGAGCACGACAUCUUUGUCCCUGAAGACGACGAUGACGACGAUUGACCUAAGUCUGGAAAAGUAAAUGGGUGCUUUGCAAUAUUGACUGAAAGCAUACCAGUCGGCACAAGGAAGAUGGGGAAGAUGGGGCACUUUGUCUUCCAAAUAAACCCCUCUGUCUCCACCCUCUUCCUUUCCCUAUUCUCUAAUAUUUAACUUGUUUUGCCUUCAAGAAUUUAUCAGAAAUGUCAUAUCAUGCGAGGCUAUCACAACUACUAGUUUUGGCCUCGCUCCUGUUUGCAUGUUUGUGUGUGACUAAUAAAUAAAGAGUCUCUUAUGUGGAAAA